ACUUUUUUCGUUGCUUGUUACAUUAUCUACUAUUAUAAUAACUUUAUAAUAACCAACGACCGUUUAGCAAAUAAUUAGUUUUUGAAAAUUUUUUAUAAAAUAAUUCAUUUUAAUACUUUUGUUGUUUAAGACGUCAUAGGUUACAAACGUCGUAGUAUUUUCUUGGUUUGUUGGUAUUCAUGGAUAAGUAAUUACUAUUUUAUAUCGAUGUUCUAUGCCGCGCGAGUAUUUAUAGCUUGCGUUACAAGCGUACCUAGUUGGAAGGUUUGAACGUUGGCGGAAAACUCGAUUUUUCAAUUAGAUAUAUUCGCGAGGAUAUUGUCGCAAUACACCAUACGGAAUCUCUUAAGUAAAAGGCUAGUAAUAUUGUGAAAGUAGGCAGUAAGUGCUCUUUGUUACAAUAAAAGUGGGCGAAUCUUAUCUUUCUGUUGAUUACACAUAAUCUUUAGCUAUUAAAUUAUCACAUGUUUAACGUAUGUCGUAUACAUCUUAAUGCAAUAUAACUUACUUAUUAACUAAAAUACUAAGCUACUUUUUGUUAAAUUAUAUUUUUUAUUAUUACAAAGUGCACUUCAUUCUUAAUGAAAUAUUCGCAUGAAAUAAAUUUUUAUUAAUAAAAUACUAUCAUAGUUAGAAUUUGAUACAUUCGUAUGAAAAACUAGGAAUAAAUUAAUGAUAUUGAAACUAACAAAAUAAUUUUUUACAUGACAUAGAAAUUUGUUAAUAAAAUAAUAUCAUAAUUGGAAUCUGAUAUAUUCAUAGCUUCAUCCACCAGAAAUCAAUAAUAAAAUUUAACGAAAAAUGAUUAUGUGAAGAUAGAUACUAAUAGUCACAUAAAAUUGAAACUCACUCAAAAAUAAUAUUGGAAUUCUAUGUAUUCGUUGUAGAAAUCAGCAAUAAAGAUAGAGAAUUAUUAAACUUUGACCUAUUGUCGAAUUAACCACAUAUAAAUUCGCUCCUUCCCGCUUGAUCCUUUAUUCGUAGACUCGAUAUACAUAAGAGAGUUCAGAACGAUUCCACUUAGCAUGUAGUAAUAGUUAGGAUGUAAAUUUUAUUAAACAGCAAUUCACGCGAGGAAGAAGUUCGCCGCGUUUUGAUAAACCGACGAAAAUCCUUUAAGAAGAUUAAUGCAUUAUUAGGCAAGAGACCCGCGUAGUGUUCGUAAAAAAUAUUCUAUUUAAAACGUGUACGUAAAACAAUAAAGCAGCUUUUCAACGGA